GAUGAACGCUGGCGGCGUGCCUAAUACAUGCAAGUCGAGCGAACGGACGAGAAGCUUGCUUUUCUGAUGUUAGCGGCGGACGGGUGAGUAACACGUGGAUAACCUACCUAUAAGUCUGGGAUAACUUCGGGACACGGGAGCUAAUACCGGAUAAUAUUUUGAACCGCAUGGUUCAAAAGUGAAAGACGGUCUUUCUGUCACUUCUAGAGGCAUCCGUGCUGCUGUAGCUAGUUGUUAAGUUAAAGGCUUACGAAGGCAAGGAUGCAUAGGCGACCUGAGUGGGGGAUCGGCCGCACGGGAAGUGAGACACGGACCAGACGCCUGAGGUAGGCAGCAGUAUGGAACCUUCCGCAAUGGGGGAAAACCUUACGCAGCAACGCCAAGUGAGGGAUAGAGAUCCCGGGAUCGUAAAACUGUGUUAUGAGGGAAGAACAUAUUUGUAAGUAACUGUGCAGAUCGUGACGGUACUUAAUCAGAAAGCCACGGCUAACUACGUG
rnacentral:rRNA from 1 species